UUCGGGUUCUGUUAGCCAUAGCUGCAUUUCAUGACUAUGAAAUAUGGCAGAUGGAUGUCAAAACCGCUUUCCUUAAUGGAAAGUUGGCUGAAGAUGUUUACAUGAGUCAGCCAGAGGGUUUUGUCAGCAACGAGUACCCUAAUAGAGUGUGUAAGCUUGAGAAAUCCAUUUAUGGAUUGAAGCAAGCACCUCGCAGAUGGAAUCUUUGCUUUGAUGAAAAGGUCAAGGAAUUUGGCUUUUCUAGGAGUGAAGAUGAAUCUUGUGUGUAUGUCAAGGCUAGUGGGAGUAUAGUUAGCUUUUUGGUAUUGUAUGUGGAUGACAUACUACUCAUAGGAAACGACAUUCCAACCCUGCAGGAAGUAAAGUCCUGGCUUGGGAAGUGUUUCGCUAUGAAGGACCUUGGUGAAGCUGCCUAUAUUCUAGGGAUAAGAAUCUUGAGAGAUCGGAGUAAAAGACUAAUUGGACUUAGUCAGAGUACCUACUUGGAUAAGGUGCUGAAGAGAUUCAGCAUGCAGGAUUCCAAGAAAGGAGAGUUACCCAUCCAGAGUAACACCAGAUUGAGUAAGACACAAAGCCCUAGCACUGAGGCUGAGAUAGCAGAAAUGAGUCGAACACCUUACGCUUCGGCUGUAGGAUCGAUCAUGUAUGCUAUGACGUGUACUCGACCCGAUGUAGCUUUUGCCUUGAGCAUGGUUAGCAGGUAUCAGGCGAACCCUGGCAAGGCACACUGGACUGCGGUAAAGAAUAUCCUCAAGUACCUACGGAGGACUAAGGACUGGGUCCUUACCCUCGGUGGGAGUGAUGACUUGAGAGUUGUAGGGUAUAGUGAUGCUAGCUUCCAGACUGAUAGGGAUAAUUUCCGCUCUCAGUCGGGCUGGGUCUUUACCCUAAACGGAGGAGCAAUUUCUUGGAAGAGUUCCAAGCAAGAGACAGUGGCAGAUUCUACUUGUGAAUCAGAGUAUAUUGCAGCUAGUGAAGCAGCAAAGGAGGCGAUAUGGCUGAAGAACUUCAUUGGAGACCUUGGAGUUGUACCAGCUAUUAAAGAGCCAAUGGAAAUUUUCUGUGAUAGUGAAAGUGCUGUUGCCUUAGCCAAGGAACCAAGGGAUCAUGGGAGAUCCAGACACAUCGACAGAAAAUACCAUUUCAUUAGACAUCGGAUCGAAGAAGGACUCCUCGUGGCAAAGAGGGUAUCAUCGGAUGAGAACCCAGCAGAUCCCCUCACGAAGGGACUGAGUAGGGUUAAGCAUCUCCAGCAUGCUCGGAGCAUAGGGCUGAAGGAUGAUAUAAGUUUUAGUAGUUAGAUAACCCAGAAAUUUGUAAAGUGUAAUUGACAUUUGAUGAUGAAUAAAAGGUGUUUUAUUUAUGAGUAAAGUGUUGCUAUCUCUUGUCGAUCGUUUACUAUAUUUCUUUUGCAUGUUUUGACUUCCAGAAUAAUUUUGUUUGGUAUAACAUAUUAUUCAAACCUCCACAGUCGGUCAUAUGUUGGAAGUAGAUAUGAAUCAAGACUGUCAUGUUUGGUUGUAGAGGUCUUGGACAAGGCUACAACAAUCAUGAGUGCUCAUAAGUUCUGAGCAUUGGACUCAACCCACGCUCACUGGAAUCACUUCAUGGAAUUCUAUCUCGAGUGAUCGUGAGACGGUAAUAUCAUAUAAGUCUUCAAACCUAGAGAUAUGAUUUGUUACUUACAAGUUGGUUAUGCAUUGACUGUACGAAACCGCAUUGGUAACUCGAUGUUAUAAAACGUACUUUUGUGUGUAAUUCAAUGAGUGGUAGAACAAACAUAUGAGUCGAAGUUUAUCUGUUCCUUCUUGGAUUAGAAGCUGAUAUCUGGGCCCCUCGAUGAUUUUGUUUUGACCCAUGUACCGGGCCCGGUCAGAACUAAGUUGAUGUGUUCAAUUAAGUUCUAUGUCAAACAAAUCGGAAAUCGGGAAACAAAUGCUGGACAAUAAGCAAGACAAUGUUCCAUGUAUUUGUCCGGCUGAUAUCUAGAACAGAGGAUUAUAUGAUCACUUAUCUUAAAUGGCGUAUCAUCAUCUUCUCAGUUCCGAGAGACCUUGAAAGAGCUACGAUUGCCGGUCGGUUCCUGAAGUACUAGAGAUAUAGUUAUUAGACUUAUCCAAGUGGGAGACUGUUGGAUAAGGUGUCUAAGUCCAUAACUAUUUCGGGCUUGUACUUGACCCGACCCGGCAUGGUCCAUUUGGGUUGCAUGGCACCAUGCAAUUGGAUAGACUAAAUGAGAGAAAUAACACUUGGAGAUUAUUAAUAUAUUAUAAGUUCUAAUAUAUUAAUAAUAUUAUUUGAUUAGUUGAUCAAAGAAUUAAUUUGGAAUUAAUUAAGUGAUCAAAGGAUAACUAAUUAAAUAUAUGGGUUGAUUAUGUAAAUCAUCCAUAUCUUGUAUAGUGGGCUAAGAGGCUCCAUGGAUUAUCAAGUUGGGUUCUACCCAUAGGAUGCUCCAUGGAUGCUCCAUGGGAGUUACAAACCCAUGGGUCAUGGAAAUGAAGAGUCAUGACACAUUAGGGUUUACAUGGUGUAACCCUAGAUGUGUCAACACUAUAUAAGAGUCCCAUUCUCCACAAAAUUGGCUACACAAGUUGUACACUAAGAAACAAGAGGGCUUGGCCGAUUUUGAGAAGUGUGUGUUAUCUCAAGAGUCUUUCCAAGAGCAUUUGGUGUUGUGUGAAGCAUUUGAGGCAUCACACUUGGGGUGCUAGGCUCACAAGGUUUCAAGGAACACAAGCAACAACAAGGUAAGUUAUUCUAUCUAUGACUCAAGUUAAAAUUGUUCCCCAUGUAUGCUAGAUAGGAAUAUAACCUUGGAAUUCAAAUUUGCAUGAUAAUUAGACAAAAAUAGAUCCAAGGCUAUUAGGGUUGCAUGUACACUUAGGAAGUGUUAGAAUGCUCAAAACCCAUCAGUAGCAAGGAGGGCUGUCUUUCAAGAGAGAGAGUUCAUAAGCUAAGGAAACACUGGGAGGCAAAUUGACCUUGAAGAACUUCAAGAGUCAAGUGGUGAAGGAACCUUAAAUCCUAGCAGUCAACUUGAGGAGGAACCUCCUGCUGAUCCAAUUAUACCUCCAGUUGUACCUCUGAGGCGUUCCACAAGGGUUAGGAAUGUACCUGAGCAUUACUAUGGUUUCCAUAUUACUGCGGAAGGUGAGAUACUUAUUAGUGAUGAGACACUAGUAGGUCUGGAUGAACCUAACACCUAUGCGGAAGCCAUGGCAGGCCCUGAGUCUGCUAAAUGGAAAGAGGCAACAGAUACGNUCCAUGUAUGACAAUCAAGUUUGGAACUUGGUUGAGAAUGUACCAGGUCGUAAGACUGUAGGGUGCAAAUGGAUCUUCAAGAAGAAGACCGACGUGGAUGGUAAUAUACACACUUAUAAGGCAUGACUGGUUGCAAAGGGCUUUUCUCAAACUCUAGGAGUUGAUUUUGAUGAGACUUUUUCACUAGUAGCCAAGAUUAAGUCUAUUAGUGUAUUGCUAGCCAUAGCUGCAUUUCAUGACUAUGAAAUAUGGCAAAUGGAUGUCAAAACCGCUUUCCUUAACGUAAAGUUGGUUGAGGAUGUUUACAUGAGUCAGCCAGAGGGUUUUGUCAGCAACGAGUACCCUAAUAGAGUGUGUAAGCUUGAGAAAUCCAUUUAUGGAUUGAAGCAAGCACCUCGCAGAUGGAAUCUUUGCUUUGAUGAAAAGGUCAAGGAAUUUGGCUUUUCUAGGAGUGAAGAUGAAUCUUGUGUGUAUGUCAAGGCUAGUGGGAGUAUAGUUAGCUUUUUGGUAUUGUAUGUGGAUGACAUACUACUCAUAGGAAACGACAUUCCAACCCUGCAGGAAGUAAAGUCCUGGCUUGGGAAGUGUUUCGCUAUGAAGGACCUUGGUGAAGCUGCCUAUAUUCUAGGGAUAAGGAUCUUGAGAGAUCGGAGUAAAAGACUAAUUGGACUUAGUCAGAGUACCUACUUGGAUAAAGUGCUGAAGCGAUUCAGCAUGCAGGAUUCCAAGAAAGGAGAGUUACCCAUCCAGAGUAACACCAGAUUGAGUAAGACACAAAGCCCUAGCACUGAGGCUGAGAUAGCAGAAAUGAGUCGAACACCUUACGCUUCGGCUGUAGGAUCGAUCAUGUAUGCUAUGACGUGUACUCGACCCGAUGUAGCUUUUGCCUUGAGCAUGGUUAGCAGGUAUCAGGCGAACCCUGGCAAGGCACACUGGACUGCGGUAAAGAAUAUCCUCAAGUACCUACAGAGGACUAAGGAUU
rnacentral:lncRNA from 1 species